AAAUUCAUUACCAUUACCAAAGCUACAUGUCAUUACAUAGUAAAAGCAUAACCAAACACAAACUAAACAACAAAGACCAACAACAAGAGAAACAACAAAGACAUCACAUUCAAACUAAGCUCCCAUUCGAUUACACACUAAUAACCAAGAACAAAUUUCUGGGUUUUUUUCUUAUAGAACAUUGAUAUUACAAUUGCAAUCACACUAAAACAAAGGCACACCAAGCACACUUUCGUCAUCUUUUUCCAUCUCUGAAUUUCUCUUUUGCUCCACAUUCCAUCUUCUUUCAACUCUAUCAUUAGCUCCUUUAAGUUUGCAAUUUCAACAGCAACCUCAGCUUUUGCAUUGAUUAUCUCGUUAUCAAUGCUGGAGAUUUUGGGUAGAGCAUCUAUAACCUCUUCAUACAUACAAUCCUCCACCCAUUUGAACAAAUGAUCCUGCAAUUCCAUCUCAAGCUUUUAUCGACCAAACACAAAAAACAUCACAUUCUCAUAUCAAAUCUACUUACAUCUUCACAGCUUUUGCACCGAAAGAAAGGCCUUCCAGGGUUCUUAGCCGUGCUCGAUGUAAACAUGACGACGUCGAGCCCACAUUUACACUUAACAGGAAACCCACGGCUCUUGAAACCUCCAGCUUCAGCAUUCGAAAUCAUUCCUGAAUUGCAGCCUCCACUUUCACCACUCGAAUUCCUUGAGUUGCAGCUCAUAAUGCAGAUUUGAUCGAAAAAUUUGAGAGAAAAUGAUUUUUAGGGUUUGGGUUUUGAUUUGGGGAUUUUUCAGAGGUUUCGUCGACUUUGAAGUCUGUUGAUAGCACAAAACGUCGUCGUAUCACCUUAACGGAUGUUCUGUAACGUCUGUCAAUUACGCUGUUAGAAGGAAUUUUAACGGUGGUUAAUUAGGCCGAGUCAACGCAAACUUGAAUGUUAAAACAGAAGUCAACUUUUUGUUGAAAGUUAAAACGGCCAUUUCACGAGUUCACGGUUAAUUUGACCAUUUUUUGUAAGUUGAGGUAUUAAAUAACAUUUUUCCCA
rnacentral:sRNA from 1 species